rnacentral:tRNA from 5 species
GCGGCAGUAGCUCAGCUGGAUAGAGCACGGGCCUUCUAAGCCUGAGGUCGGGGGUUCGAGCCCCUCCUGCCGCG